rnacentral:rRNA from 1 species
UGGGGAAUUUUGGACAAUGGGCGAAAGCCUGAUCCAGCAAUGCCGCGUGUGUGAAGAAGGCCUUCGGGUUGUAAAGCACUUUUGUCCGGAAAGAAAUCCUUGGCUCUAAUACAGUCGGGGGAUGACGGUACCGGAAGAAUAAGCACCGGCUAACUACGUGCCAGCAGCCGCGGUAAUACGUAGGGUGCAAGCGUUAAUCGGAAUUACUGGGCGUAAAGCGUGCGCAGGCGGUUUGCUAAGACCGAUGUGAAAUCCCCGGGCUCAACCUGGGAACUGCAUUGGUGACUGGCAGGCUAGAGUAUGGCAGAGGGGGGUAGAAUUCCACGUGUAGCAGUGAAAUGCGUAGAGAUGUGGAGGAAUACCGAUGGCGAAGGCAGCCCCCUGGGCCAAUACUGACGCUCAUGCACGAAAGCGUGGGGGAGCAAACAGGAUUAGAUACCCUGGUAGUCCACGCCCUAAACGAUGUCAACUAGUUGUUGGGGAUUCAUUUCCUUAGUAACGUAGCUAACGCGUGAAGUUGACCGCCUGGGGGAGUACGGUCGCAA